GAGACAACCAGUGGGUCUCCCAGUGCUACGCAGAUUAGCUGAGGCAUGGCAAGGAAUUGGAGUCAGGUGUCACAAACCAGAGGCUCAUCACUUAAGGUUGAAAACUCCUGUCACUCAGGAAAAGAAGGCGACCUGCUCCCUCUAUAGGCUUUCCUGGUUGUUGCUAUCAUGAACCGACCAUCCAGGGGAUCAGAGCUGCAUGCAGGCUUUGAAGGCUGGCAAAAACUCUGGUUGGAAGAGAUACCAUCUGAGCCAGCAGUUCCGUGAAGCCAGGCACGCUUCCUCGCCAGUGCCUGCUAUCCCGACGGCUUUUCUCUCCUCCCCGUCCCAGGGCCCUGCCUCCUCAGCUGCACCAGCACUGCAGUUUCUGGCAUCCUUCCGCAGGCCUUUCUGGCAGCUCAAGCUCCAUUCUUGGGGGAAAAGGACAGAAAACACUCCGUCCAGGACUGGUUCAACACAGGAUUAGGAUCCGCUUGCCCACUGCCCAGAUGCAGUUAAGUAUUUUUUAUUUGCUGCUGUGAAACAUCAACCACAAAAAUACAUGUAGUCUACUCAUUAAAUGCAAACUGCUAACGACAGUGGGCAUAAACAACAAAAGAAAUAAUCUCCAGAUAAAUGGUAUACUACAACAUGCUUCA